UACAGAGGGUGCAAGCGUUAAUCGGAAUUACUGGGCGUAAAGCGCACGCAGGCGGUUGGCUAAGUCAGAUGUGAAAGCCCCAGGCUCAACCUGGGAAUUGCAUUUGAAACUGGCCAACUAGAGUAUGUGAGAGGGGGGUAGAAUUCCAAGUGUAGCGGUGAAAUGCGUAGAGAUUUGGAGGAAUACCAGUGGCGAAGGCGGCCCCCUGGCACAAUACUGACGCUCAGGUGCGAAAGCGUGGGGAGCAAACAGG
rnacentral:rRNA from 1 species